AUGAGCCCGGGCCGGACAGGAGCGGACGAGGAGGCCACAGACUUGUUUGUUUUCUGUCCGCUUUGGUCCCAAAUCCAGCUCAAGUUUAGUGUGAAGAUGAGGCAGAACGGACACGGACCGGAUAAAAUAUGGGUAUUCUUCUGCGCGCUAGCGCUGGAGUGGGCCUUAACUAGUGAUUUCGGGCAUCCAAGCAAGGUGGUGGACGCGAGCGUUAAGACCAGGGCAGCGAUCCUCCCCCAGCGCACGGCCUGUUCCAGGUUCUCAUCCAUCCACGCGUUCAUCGUGGCUCGCGCUCACGGACACGGUCAGCAAUCAACGGCAGCCACACACGGCAUCUCACAUCACAUGGCCCGUCUGCAACCCCGAGCAGCGAGCAGCCUAGAAAUUUCGCGUUCCGUCGGUGCGGCCCACGUCCCAACCCGAUGCUUUGCCGACCCGCCAGCCGCCCCACCCGAACCGAACCAAACCAAACCAAGUCCGAAAAGGCGCCCCAGGUGCGCCCCCUCCACCCCGCGCUCCGGCCUCCUCUCUUCUCCUCUGGAGCUUUCGUUCCGGCCGCGCCUCCGCCCUCGAUCGCCCGAGUCGCCUCCUCGCGUCCUCGCGUCUCCUCCACCAAUUCCCGAUUCGUUCCGAAUCGCGUUUGAUUUGAUUUCACUCGCCGUCGCCGUUGCCUUGGAUUCGACCCGUCUCGUCUCCUCCGCCUCCGUGCGAUCCCGGGAAGCGAUCGAUCGGGGGAUUCAUUCAUUUGGUUUGCGAGUCUAUCUCAGAUUCUGUUUCGUGUGUACGGUUCUGUUUACAACUGUGGAUCCCGUGUUCCUCGUAUUCGUGUUCGCAUCCGCGCGCGUUGGUCAGAUUCCCGUGCUCGUUCACACCGCUUCCUCUGCGCUCAUCCGUGAUUCCAGAUUUCAAAUGGAUAUGGCCCGCGUCAUCUUCUGGUUCCCCGACCGCUCUGGUUUACUCCGUGUCAUCCGUUGGUUCAGAGGUUAUUCUGAUUGGCUACGGACCAGCGGUUACCCUGAUAUGGACAUAUUUAGGAAGUUUGGGCUUAUGGGUAAAUCUCUGUACAGUGAGUCAGGAUUGGAUCUGGAACGUGGAGAUCCUGUGGUGUUGUAUGUUGAAGGGGAUUUGAGCAGGUCAGCUAAUAUGAGGUGGAUUAGAGGUCCUGUUGGAUUCUUAUUGCAGCAGCUGAUCGCGCUGUUGAAAUUGAGGUUAAUUGGUGGAGAUUUGGUUUCUGUUCAUCAUUUUGAUUGGUUGGAUAAUAAAUUGGAAUUAUAUGGAUUAGCGGGUGGUCCUAUUUUUCCUCGGCAUGGAGGUUCUUUCUGUGGCCCAACAUAUCUGACCUUUUAUCCUCCCUUGAUAAUUGAACUUCCAAAUGUUAGUUUCUUUGCCUUGGUUGGUAAUUCGCAGCUCUUGCAGAUGCUGACUUGGGAGCGAAAUAAUUGGAACCAGUGUUGUCUACCCGACUCCGGCCGAGACAGGCUUACUUACCCUUUACCUCAACAUUUGAUGCAUGCUUUAGCUGAGCCUAGUUUUCCUCUUGUAACUUGUAGAAAGUUACUUGUUCAUGUCUUUGAUUUAGGUUUUUCCUUCUACCCUCCCUUUGGUUGCAGAUUAAGCCCAAACCAUGCUGGUAGAGUUUGGGCCCAAACCUUUGCUCUGUACAUGGAUUUCAUCUGUUGUCGCCUCCUCUACAAUUUGGCUUGCAGGACUAGAUCUCGAUCUGGUGUGGAAGUAAAGCUCCAUGUGGGUUGUGAACGUAUGGUGAAGGGGACUCGAGGCAGCUUUGAGUUGGUAGUGUGCACGUCUGAUUCUUUCGACUGUCCUGAAGCAUCUUACUUUGGUUUCUGUUGUGCCAUCCUACUGGUUUGGAUGGAAUAUGAUCUCAUCUUUCGCUUGAAUCAAGAAAAUGCUAGAAGUCUCAAACAAGGGUCCAAAAUGGAAAUAUCAGUUGAUUUUCAGAAGUGGUGUUCUUCUCGCUGGUGCUUCUCCAGUGGGAUCUGGAUUUUGUUCAACCCUAUUCCUGUCAAGAGUAGUUUAACACUGCCUUUGCCGACCCGGAUGAGAAAAUGUGGAGGGGACUGCAGCUCCUCUGUAUCGUUUGCAUUAGAACUGUCAUGUCAGUCAGACUCCUUCAGGAACUUGCUGAUUCCUAGCUGUACAAGUAAACUAGCAGGUAUGGUUUGCAUGACUGAUCCUGAUACUGCACUUGGAUGGCGUGAAAGUCAGAGAUGCAGGUAUGGUGGUUCAUUUUCAGAGUGGAAAUUCAAGUCCGACGAAACUGAAGAAGCUUCAACCACUGCAAUCCUCAACGGGCGACGGCUAUCCUACGGUCAGACACAGUCACAAACGGGCAGUCAACGCCAAGCUGCUCAUGGCCGGGGACGCCGUCGUCUUCAUGCGCCGCGCCGACGGGGAGCUGCUCGCCGGGCGCGCCCAGGUACCCCGCCGUCUCCCAGCAGGCGUCCGAGGGCGCCGAGCGCCGGCCACGCAACGCGCGCGCGGGUCCCGCCCGAGGAGGUGGACGAGGCCGUGCGGCUCGCUGCAGAGGGCACGCUCUUCACCGUCACCUACUACCCGCGCCAGGGCGCCGGGGAGUUCGUCGUGCCCAAGCAGGAGGUGGAGGACGCGCUGAUCGGCGCCUGGGCACCCGGCGUGCAGGUGCGCAUGAAGUUCCUCGACGCCGAGGAGCGCCGCUCCGAGUGGAACAACGGCGCCGUCAAGGCCGUCGAGUCGUCGACCCCUCCAUCUGGCGCAUGCUCGAGGUACAUCUUGCGUCCAUACAUCCAUCUCUCCAGUCAAUCCAUCCGAUCAUUGCGAUAA
rnacentral:rRNA from 1 species